rnacentral:rRNA from 1 species
CGUAGGGCGCAAGCGUUGUCCGGAAUUAUUGGGCGUAAAGAGCUCGUAGGCGGUUUGUCGCGUCUGCUGUGAAAACCCGAGGCUCAACCUCGGGCCUGCAGUGGGUACGGGCAGACUAGAGUGCGGUAGGGGAGACUGGAAUUCCUGGUGUAGCGGUGGAAUGCGCAGAUAUCAGGAGGAACACCGAUGGCGAAGGCAGGUCUCUGGGCCGCAACUGACGCUGAGGAGCGAAAGCAUGGGGAGCGAACAGGAUU